CCCUGGAUCCGCGUGCGUCGACGCCGGCUUCGCAGCGGCGCUUGAUGUGGAGCGCGCCGGAGUAGAGGAGCGGGCCUUCUUCCUCACCUCACAUCGCUGUCCUCCUCCACGACCACGCAGCCGCAACGGCGGAGGACCCGAAUCCCUAGCCAGCAAGCUCAGGCAGCCAUGGAUCCAUGGGGCGAUGCCAUGGAAGGGCCACCAACACCAGCAGCUAUGGACAUGCAGGCUGCUGCCCUCCCUGAUGCAUCAUGCGCGCAGGCCACAAGAAGGGAAGAACACUGCUCUGCUACUUCCUGGGUCUCCAUGGAAGGUGAGAAAUAGAUGAUGGGAGAACGGGGGAAGAUAUAAAUGCCUUGAUUGAAUAAAUAAAUGGAGGAUUCAUGGAGCUUCACUAACGGAUAGCAUCACACUGUCGCCUGAAAUUGCAGUAGUGUAUACACCCAGGGUACCUACAUGCCCAUGUUAGAGUUAAUGGAGGAUGAAGUGUGACCGUACUAUCUCCUUGUGUCUACAACGACUUGUGCCAAUACUGUCUCCUUGACCAGCUCCUGAGGCUCUCCCUGUGCGGUAGCGGCUCAAUCUCCACGGUGCCGUUGAGGAGGAGGGGCUGGGGCGGCCGGUGCGCUCUCGCUACUCAUCGACCUUGCUGUUACUACCUCAUCCUUGAAUCCAUGGGGGAUAGCAUAUGAAGUGAGUAAACGGAAAUAACGUGAGCGUCCAAGCAGGAAAUGCAAAUGCUCUAUUUUAGCCAAAGCAUGGGAAUGUGCACAAGGGAAAGGUAUUUGUGUGAUUGAUCAGAACUACAUACAUAACAAUGCAAGGACACACUAUAAUUUCGCAUUUUCAAGGCUAGCACAUGGAGCGGCAAAAGGGAGGAGGAGCUACCACGGAGGCCAGCUAACUCGAGGAUGUUCUAGAAUUAGUGUAGAGUAAGCCUGACUCUACAAGAAAAUACAUCGGAUAAUUAGAAAACAAGGCACUGACAAAAAACAAGAAAAUACAAAGACCAAAUACUUGAGGGGCUGCAACUUUGCAAGACUGAAAUUAAUGAAAGCUAAGCCUUCUAUUUUUUGGAUAAACAAACAGCUAAGUCAGUUGAGGAGUGAUCUCCAGCAGCUCCCAGGUCACUAGAGUCAAAGAUUGUCCUCUGAAAGACCGACACGUGAUCAUGUUUUAUCAUUGUUUGAAAGGAGUAGUGAACGCUGAUGAUAUCAUAUAUGUGCGGAUUACUGCCAUCGUACCUCCAAAGAUGAUGGAGUUUUUGGUUGAGGUUGGAACCAAGAAGCAGAGAAGAAGAGGUUGUAAGAGAAGCGGAAGUCAGACGAGAAUAGGAAUUAUAAUGAGGCUCAUGUACAGAAGAGGGUCCUUUAUUCGGAAUCUUGCUUUAGCUGCUCUAAAUGAGUUACAUUUCUAUUGAAGAAAACUUGUCUAAACAUUUUAUAUCUGUAGGUAUUUGGUACAUGAGAUGAAUGCUCUCAGUAGAAUCCCACCACAUCCUCACAUUGACCUUCCGCCGGGCAGCACGUCAUCAGCCCCCAAGGACGUCUAGCUCAAUCACGACAAUGGCGGCAUGUCAGACCGAUUCCCUUCGCCAGUAGAAGCACGCGACACAUCCCCGUUAUCUCCUUGACAUUGCUCUCGCUGCACCUCCUCUUAUUUCCUUUAUUUUCCAAAUUAAAUAUUUCUAAUCAUACUAAAGUUUCAGAUCUUUUCAGGAAAUCAUGGGAUAGAAUCGCCUUUAUACUAACUUUUUGUGAGUGAUGUCCGUACUCCGUAGUAUGCAUACCUUCAGGAAUUUACAAGUGUAAUUGCUAUCUUGAUGCUGGUUUGUGCGACUGCGACCUGAUGUUUUGGUAGCACCAGUCAUUCAUACAUAUCCCAUUGAGGUGACUUCUCAGAAUGCAUGGAUUGGAAAAGGAGGAGUUUCCAUUGGAGAGAUCGGGAUUGACAAUGGAUGGUAAUUUCAUACAAAGGGGAAUAAGAAGCUCUUUUGGGUCUGUGAUGUUGCACCUGAACUUGCAGUUGCAUUAUCCACUCUUAUGCUCUCCGUAAAAAAAGGUAGAGCUGACAGAGCAUGGUAUGAGAAUCAUACGAAAAGUAGAUGCAGGCAUCAACACAAGUCAUGGCAAGGGUAUUCAACUCAGAGGACUCCACGUUGCAGAAUGUGCAAAUGUUAUUCAUAUUUGGUGUGUUUCUACUUCUGAAAGAUAUAUAAUGUCGUGGUGCUCUUGACACAACGGUCCAGUGCUCCGCUCUUCUGCUCGCAAAGCGGCCGUGCUGUACUCGGACGGGGGAGGGUGCGAGGAGGAUCGUCGGAUGUGGGCAGACCUCCACAUCUAGGAAGAGUGGAGGUGUCUAUGCAGUUCGCAACGAAGGAAAAGCAAUCCUCGAACAGUUGAACUGAUCAAUUUGUACUGCUUGCCUUUGUAGUUUCUGCGUGCCAGUUUUGAACGACCUGUCGGAACUUAUUUUUGAAGCAGUUCCUAAACUCUGAACAUGUCUAACAAACACUUAAGCCACCUGUUGAGUUCACUCCUUCUGAAUCUCCCGGAAUGACCUGCUUGGACAGGGUGAGGACAAGUGCAUGGUAGUGGACAUAAAUAGGAUUGGAACAUGGUGGAUCUUCAGAUUGUCGAGCCGCACCAAAUUUUGUUUUGCACUGUUGCAUAUGCUUAACUAAACAAUUUCCAUUAUAUUUAAUUUAACUAUGAUGCAGAGCAAGAUGAGGGCUUGGAUGUGCCAGAGGAGUCCAUAGCCAGCAUGAAGCACAUCAUGCUGCCAAUCAACGAGGAUCAUCAGUUACUUGUUAGCUAUUAGUCUUGUGUUAUAGAAGUGUUUUGUAGUCAUAGUACUUCAUGUGUUAUGAAAGUGUCAAACACCAGAUGUCUUCAU